AUUGAACGCUGGCGGCAGGCCUAACACAUGCAAGUCGAACGAGUGGCGGACGGGUGAGUAAUGUCGGGGAAACUGCCUGAUGGAGGGGUAUAACUACUGGACACGGUAGCUAAUACCGCAUACCAUCAGAUGUGCCCAUAUGGGAUUAGCGAGUGGGUGGGGUAAGGGCUCACCAAGGCGACGAUCCCUAGCUGGUCUGAGAGGAUGAACAGCCACACUGGAACUGAGACACGGCCCAGACUCCUACGGGAGGCAGCAGUGGGGAAUAUUGCACAAUGGGCGCAAGCCUGAUGCAGCCAUGCCGCGUGUAUGAAGAAGGCCUUAGGGUUGUAAAGUACUUUCAGUGGGGAGGCGUUACCGGCAGAAGAAGCACCGGCUAACUCCGUGCCAGCCGCCGCGGUAAUAC
rnacentral:rRNA from 1 species